rnacentral:rRNA from 1 species
UAAUACGGAGGGUGCGAGCGUUGUCCGGAAUCACUGGGCGUAAAGGGCGCGUAGGUGGCGGGCCAAGUCAACGGUGAAAGCUCGGGGCUCAACUCCGAGUCGGCCGUCGAUACUGGUUCGCUGGAGCACUGUAGAGGCAGGUGGAAUUCCGGGUGUAGCGGUGGAAUGCGUAGAGAUCCGGAAGAACACCGGUGGCGAAGGCGGCCUGCUGGGCAGUUGCUGACACUGAGGCGCGACAGCGUGGGGAGCAAACAGG